GUUGACAGAGAUGGUCACUGGUCCCACUACAAGGCUGAUGGUGCUGUGUAUAGUUCUGGUGCCGGCUUCCAGUGACGGAGCUACACCCGAACAGCUGAUCGGCAGGGGUCCGACACCCUGCACCCCCAUCAAUCAGCUAGUGAUGGCCUAUCCUGA